rnacentral:piRNA from 1 species
UGGGGCUUUGGACAGUUAGAAUCUGCUGCA